UCAACAGCUGCAGCGAAGGAACGCCGCAGCGAUCAGGGACGAUCGACCAUUGCCAGGAGGCUACUGACAGGACGUUGGA
rnacentral:scRNA from 1 species